CCUACGGGAGGCAGCAGUGGGGAAUAUUGGACAAUGGGGGGAACCCUGAUCCAGCGACGCCGCGUGAGUGAAGAAGUAUUUCGGUAUGUAAAGCUCUAUCAGCAGGGAAGAAAAUGACGGUACCUGACUAAGAAGCCCCGGCUAACUACGUGCCAGCAGCCGCGGUAAUACGUAGGGGGCAAGCGUUAUCCGGAUUUACGGGGUGUAAAGGGAGCGUAGACGGUGCGGCAAGUCUGAUGUGAAAGGUCGGGGCCCAACCCCGGGACUGCAUUGGGAACUGGCGCGCUGGAGUGCCGGAGGGGUAGGCGGAAGUCCGAGGGUAGCGGUGAAAUGCGUAGAUAUUAGGAGGAACACCAGUGGCGAAGGCGGCCUACUGGACGGUGACUGACGCUGAGGCUCGAAAGCGUGGGGAGCAAACAGGAUUAGAUACCCGGGUAGUC
rnacentral:rRNA from 1 species